UUUUUCAUGGCUCAGUUGGUAAAGAAUUUGCCUGCAAUGCAGGAGACCCCAGUUCAAUCCUGGGCUGGAAAG
rnacentral:tRNA from 1 species